ACGAGGAUAAAUGUCUAACUGGUAACCCUACCCUUGUAUCUAUUUAAAGCGUCGUGUUGACUUUCGGUUGAUACUAGAACAGUGAUAACAUAUUUUUGGAUUUAUUUUUGUUUAUUCUACUGUUAAUGAUAAAACAUGGAAUGGGAAAGGAUAGAGGUUCGAGAUGAGAAUGGGGUUGGAUUUGACUUAAUACAACACGAAGAGCUGAUAUUGCCAGCCGCACUUCAACAUAUGGAACAUGAGAAACAACUUAAAAUGAUUCGCGAGUUUAAAUACAAGAAAGGUGAUAUUCUCUUAUGCAGUUAUCCAAAAACAGGUACACACUGGUUGUCGAAUUUGGUAUAUUUUCUGGUUACACCCGGAUCUGUAGAGUCCAUGAAGACUGUACAACCAACGCUGAUGGAUCUUGUUCCACUUGAGCCAUUAGAAAAAGUAGAACACAGUCGAGUCCUAAAUUCACAUCACAGAAUUAACCGACUACCCUUCGAUCAUUUAGAACAAGGAGGAAAAAUUAUCGUCUUAACCCGUGGUCCUAAGGACGCAAUGGUUUCAUAUAAGUAUCAUGUACAAAAUUUCGAGAUGCUGAACCGGUCAAACUUAUCAUGGAACAAUUUCUUUGAUAUCUGGGUCAAUGGAAAAUUGCCCUGUGGAUCUUUUUUCGAUUAUUACAACUCCUGGGAGAAGGCUUUGAAAGAAAACAAGGAACUGAACGUGCUCAUCGUUCACUUUGAGCAUUUAAAGACUAACGGAUUGAAAGAACUACGAAGAAUUCAAGACUUUCUUGAAGUUAACAACACAGAAGAGCGUCUAAAGGAAAUUUUGGACAAAUGCAAUGUGAAGAAAAUGAAAGCAGACAUAGAUACAGGAGAAGUCGAGUCAUUAUUAAAAGACAGUGAUGGAAAAUCUUUCUUAUACAGAAAAGGUGAAUCUGGUGACUGGAAGAACCAUUUUACAGUUGCCCUAAAUGAACACUUCGAUAAUGUUUUAGAGGAACGGUUUAAAGACAGUAUCUUCAACGCUGAAUUUCUUGCAGGCUGAAAAUUGCGAUCUUUUGAAAAUUGAGAAUACACAUUUACUAUGACAGCAGUACAGAAAAAAAUGUUUUGUGCUGUAGCUCCGAUCUAUCGCAUUAUAUGUCCAGAUGAAAUGUGUAGUGAUGUUUAUCAGAUAAGUAUAUGAAGCCACAAGCUAUGUUUAUUGUUUGCAAUUUCUUUUGUCUAUAUCCGAAAUAAUGCAGUGUAUAAAGACAUCGCACCUCCGUCAGCUUUAUCAAUUAUGUGUUGUAUAUUGAUAUGAAUUCCGUUUGAAAACAGUAGAAAAGACAUAAAGUUUAAAAUGUAACGCAAAAAUUUAAAUACAAAUGUACAAUGCUUUCUGUGCCAGUCACUGGUAAGCCUAAGAACCAGCUCACUUAUCUCAGUUAACCAAAACAGACUUUUUCAAAUGAGAGGUUUUUAUUUGCGGAAGGGUUGAUGGUUUACCACUAUAUGAACAAUAUGUGUUCCGGUAAGAAUCACUGGAAGUUAAACAAACUCAAUAUCUUGCUAGACCUUCUCAAAAGUACUUUUCUUCUUUGACGUUAUACAGGAAGAGUAACUAUUGACCUUCGAAUAUUGCUUAUUCAGCGCAGCAUGUACAGAAUUAAAAGACAGUUUGGGAAAACCGGGUAGACGGAAGUGGAAAGGUAAACACAGAAAGGUUAAAAGUAGGGACGGAUUUUAUAUAUUCAUAUAUUACUGUUUACACAUUUGCUAGUAAUAUCAACUGGACUAAACCUGGUACACUGAUCUGUCGAGUAAG
rnacentral:misc_RNA from 1 species